rnacentral:rRNA from 1 species
AACGCUAGCUACAGGCUUAACACAUGCAAGUCGAGGGGCAGCAUGAUUGAAGCUUGCUUCAAUUGAUGGCGACCGGCGCACGGGUGAGUAACACGUAUCCAACCUUCCGUACACUCAGGGAUAGCCUUUCGAAAGAAAGAUUAAUACCUGAUGGUAUCUUAAGUACACAUGUAAUUAAGAUUAAAGAUUUAUCGGUGUACGAUGGGGAUGCGUUCCAUUAGGUAGUAGGCGGGGUAACGGCCCACCUAGCCUACGAUGGAUAGGGGUUCUGAGAGGAAGGUCCCCCACAUUGGAACUGAGACACGGUCCAAACUCCUACGGGAGGCAGCAGUGAGGAAUAUUGGUCAAUGGACGAGAGUCUGAACCAGCCAAGUAGCGUGAAGGAUGAAGGUCCUACGGAUUGUAAACUUCUUUUAUAAGGGAAUAAAACCUCCCACGUGUGGGAGCUUGUAUGUACCUUAUGAAUAAGCAUCGGCUAACUCCGUGCCAGCAGCCGCGGUAAUACGGAGGAUGCGAGCGUUAUCCGGAUUUAUUGGGUUUAAAGGGAGCGCAGACGGGUCGUUAAGUCAGCUGUGAAAGUUUGGGGCUCAACCUUAAAAUUGCAGUUGAUACUGGCGUCCUUGAGUGCGGUUGAGGUGUGCGGAAUUCGUGGUGUAGCGGUGAAAUGCUUAGAUAUCACGAAGAACUCCGAUUG